UGGGGAAUAUUGCACAAUGGGCGCAAGCCUGAUGCAGCCAUGCCGCGUGUGUGAAGAAGGCCUUCGGGUUGUAAAGCACUUUCAGCGAGGAGGAAGGUGGUGAACUUAAUACGUUCAUCAAUUGACGUUACUCGCAGAAGAAGCACCGGCUAACUCCGUGCCAGCAGCCGCGGUAAUACGGGGGGUGCAAGCGUUAAUCGGAAUUACUGGGCGUAAAGCGCACGCAGGCGGUUUGUUAAGUCAGAUGUGAAAUCCCCGGGCUCAACCUGGGAACUGCAUUUGAAACUGGCAAGCUAGAGUCUCGUAGAGGGGGGUAGAAUUCCAGGUGUAGCGGUGAAAUGCGUAGAGAUCUGGAGGAAUACCGGUGGCGAAGGCGGCCCCCUGGACGAAGACUGACGCUCAGGUGCGAAAGCGUGGGGAGCAAACAGGAUUAGAUACCCUGGUAGUCCACGCUGUAAAACGAUGUCGAUUUUGGAGGUUGUGCCCUUGAGGCGUGGCUUCCGGAGCUAACGCGUUAAAUCGACCGCCUGGGGAGUACGGCCGCAAGGUUAAAAC
rnacentral:rRNA from 1 species